ensembl:snoRNA
GCUGGUAUAUAUGAUGACUAAACUUUUUUCCCCAUCAGAUCGACUAUGUUGAUCCUACUAUUUAUUCUUUGCCAGUUUUUUCUGAUAUACCAGC